rnacentral:lncRNA from 1 species
GCUAGUGUGAGAAACACCAACAGCAGGCCCAUCUCAGAUCUUCACUAUGGCAACUUAUGCAAGAAACUGUUGAAUUAGACCCGUUUCCUAUAGAUGAGAAACCAUACAAGCUGUGGUAUUUAUGAGCCUCCAUUUCUUAUACUACUGCAGUGAACCAACAUUGGAUGUGAAAAUUGCCUUUUGUCAGUAGGUUAAGAAGAAUGUCCACUUUGGUUCUGAGUUCUAAAACCAGUUCUAAUCUGGAGUGUAUCAUUCAAUUCCUCUUUUGUUCAUCUUCUCUGUUUAUUAUAUAAAGAAACAAUUGAAUAUGUUCUUCCUGAAGUUUAGCUGAUGAAUUUUAUCUUUCCUAUGAAUUGGUAUUAUAUAUUUUAUGAGAUUAAUAAAUCAAAACCUGCCACUC